GCAGUGACCUGUGGUGAUGUGCAUGUGAACUUCACUCAAGAAGAGUGGUCUUUGCUGGAUCCUUCCCAGAAGAGUCUCUAUAAAGACGUGAUGCUGGAGACCUAUAUGAACCUCAUUGCUAUAGGCUACAAUUGGGAAGACCAUAAUGAUGAAGAACACAUUCAAAGUUGCAGAAGAAAUGGAAGGUAAUUUUCAUGUGCAAGUUGAUACGAAUAUGCCUCUGAAGAAAUGUUAAUGUGUCGGGCAAGUUGUAGAGAAAAGCAGCAGUGAAAUAAGGCACUGCUUUCAAUGGAUUGAUGUUUCUUAAAUUCUCAGAGAAACAUGCACCUCAAUAUCAGGCAUGAAAAAGACCAUACUGGAGAGAAGGCUUCUGGCUUUACACAAUUUGACAAAGAGUUUGCAUAUCACAGACUUCCUCCAAGGCAUGAAAGACUUCAUCCUGGAGAGAAACGUUAUGAAUAUAAUCAAUGUAGUAAAACCUUUGCACAACACAGUCAUCUUCAAAGACAUGAAAGA